UAGAUCGCAUGAUUUGAUAGAUAAAGCUCCGGCGGUUACAGAUGGGCAUGCGUGACAUUAGCUAGUUGGUAGGGUAAAGGCCUACCAAGGCUACGAUGGGUAGGGGUUCUGAGAGGAUUACCCCCCACACUGGUACUGAGACACGGACCAGACUCCUACGGGAGGCAGCAGUGAGGAAUAUUGGUCAAUGGCCGGAAGGCUGAACCAGCCAUCCCGCGUGCAGGAUGACGGCCCUAUGGGUUGUAAACUGCUUUUGUACCUGAAGAAUAGGCCCAACGAGUUGGGAUUUGCCGGUAAGGUAUGAAUAAGCAUCGGCUAACUCCGUGCCAGCAGCCGCGGUAAUACGGAGGAUGCAAGCGUUAUCCGGAUUUAUUGGGUUUAAAGGGUGCGUAGGCGGUCUAUUAAGUCAGCGGUGAAAGUUUUCAGCUUAACUGGAAAAAUGCCGUUGAUACUGAUAGGCUAGAAUAUGGUUGCUGUGGGUGGAAUGUGUGGUGUAGCGGUGAAAUGCUUAGAUAUCACACAGAAUAUCAAUUGCGAAGGCAGCUCACAAAGCCAUUAUUGACGCUGAGGCACGAAAGUGUGGGGAUCAAACAGGAUUAGAUACCCUGGUAGUCCACACUGUAAACGAUGAUAACUAGCUGUCGGCGAUACACAGUCGGUAGCCAAGCGAAAGCGAUAAGUUAUCCACCUGGGGAGUACGACCGCAAGGUUGAAACUCAAAGGAAUUGACGGGGGCCCGCACAAGCGGAGGAACAUGUGGUUUAAUUCGAUGAUACGCGAGGAACCUUACCCGGGCUUAAAUGUAGGCUGCAUUCGGCUGAAAGGCUGAUUCCCUUCGGGGCUGCUUACAAGGUGCUGCAUGGUUGUCGUCAGCUCGUGCCGUGAGGUGUCGGGUUAAGUCCCAUAACGAGCGCAACCCUUAUCGUUAGUUGCCAGCGGAUCAUGCCGGGGACUCUAGCGAGACUGCCACCGUAAGGUGUGAGGAAGGUGGGGAUGACGUCAAAUCAGCACGGCCCUUAUGUCCAGGGCUACACACGUGUUACAAUGGCCGAUACAAAGGGCAGCUACUCCGCGAGGAGAUGCUAAUCUCUAAAAUAUGUCUCAGUUCGGAUCGAAGUCUGCAACCCGACUUCGUGAAGCUGGAUUCGCUAGUAAUCGCGCAUCAGCCAUGGCGCGGUGAAUACGUUCCCGGGCCU
rnacentral:rRNA from 1 species